ACGUACACUCCUACGGGAGGCAGCAGUGGGGAAUAUUGGACAAUGGGCGCAAGCCUGAUCCAGCCAUGCCGCGUGAGUGAUGAAGGCCCUAGGGUUGUAAAGCUCUUUCACCGGUGAAGAUAAUGACGGUAACCGGAGAAGAAGCCCCGGCUAACUUCGUGCCAGCAGCCGCGGUAAUACGAAGGGGGCUAGCGUUGUUCGGAUUUACUGGGCGUAAAGCGCACGUAGGCGGACUAUUAAGUCAGGGGUGAAAUCCCGGGGCUCAACCCCGGAACUGCCUUUGAUACUGGUAGUCUUGAGUUCGAGAGAGGUGAGUUGAAUUCCGAGUGUAGAGGUGAAAUUCGUAGAUAUUCGGAGGAACACCAGUGGCGAAGGCGGCUCACUGGCUCGAUACUGACGCUGAGGUGCGAAAGCGUGGGGAGCAAACAGGAUUAGAUACCCUAGUAGUCCCA
rnacentral:rRNA from 1 species